GGCUCAGAAUGAACGCUGGCGGCGUGCCUUACACAUGCAAGUCGAGCGAGGCGGGUAGCAAUACCCAGUCGAGCGGCGAACGGGUGAGUAACACGUGGAUAACCUGCCCUGAGGUGUGGAAUAACCCGGGGAAACUCGGGCUAAUACCGCAUGAUACCGAGAGGUCAAAGGGGGCUCGCAAGGGCUCUCGCCAUAGGAGGGGUCCGCGUCCGAUUAGCUAGUUGGUAGGGUAACGGCCUACCAAGGCGACGAUCGGUAGCCGGCCUGAGAGGGUGAUCGGCCACACUGGAACUGAGACACGGUCCAGACUCCUACGGGAGGCAGCAGUGGGGAAUUUUGCGCAAUGGGCUAACGCCUGACGCAGCAACGCCGCGUGGAGGAUGAAGGUCUUUGGAUUGUAAACUCCUGUCAGCGGGGAAAAAGCGAAUUGGCCUAAUACGCCAGUGAGUUGAUUGUACCUGCAGAGGAAGCCCCGGCUAACUCUGUGCCAGCAGCCGCGGUAAUACAGAGGGGGCAAGCGUUAUUCGGAAUUAUUGGGCGUAAAGGGCGCGUAGGC
rnacentral:rRNA from 1 species